UAAAAGUCGUAACAAGGUUUCCGUAGGUGAACCUGCGGAAGGAUCAUUACCUAGAGUUGCGGGCUUUGCCUGCCAUCUCUUACCCAUGUCUUUUGAGUACCUUACGUUUCCUCGGCGGGUCCGCCCGCCGACUGGACAAUUUAAACCACUUGCAGUUGCAAUCAGCGUCUGAAAAAACUUAAUAGUUACAACUUUCAACAACGGAUCUCUUGGUUCUGGCAUCGAUGAAGAACGCAGCGAAAUGCGAUAAGUAGUGUGAAUUGCAGAAUUCAGUGAAUCAUCGAAUCUUUGAACGCACAUUGCGCCCCUUGGUAUUCCAUGGGGCAUGCCUGUUCGAGCGUCAUUUGUACCUUCAAGCCUUGCUUGGUGUUGGGUGUUUGUCUCGCCUCUGCGCGUAGACUCGCCUCAAAACAAUUGGCAGCCGGCGUAUUGAUUUCGGAGCGCAGUACAUCUCGCGCUUUGCACUCAGAACGACGACGUCCAAAAGUACAUUUUUACACUCUUGACCUCGGAUCAGGUCGGAAU
rnacentral:rRNA from 1 species